rnacentral:tRNA from 1 species
CAUCGAAGUAGCUUAACCCAAAGCACUCAGCUUACACCCGAGAUAUGCCCACUACCGGGCCUUCAUGA